UUUUACAAUGGAGAGUUUGAUCCUGGCUCAGGAUGAACGCUAGCUACAGGCUUAACACAUGCAAGUCGAGGGGAAACGACAUCGAAAGCUUGCUUUUGAUGGGCGUCGACCGGCGCACGGGUGAGUAACGCGUAUCCAACCUGCCCACCACUUGGGGAUAACCUUGCGAAAGUAAGACUAAUACCCAAUGACGUCUCUAGAAGACAUCUGAAAGAGAU
rnacentral:rRNA from 1 species